rnacentral:rRNA from 1 species
UGGGGAAUAUUGGGCAAUGGGCGCAAGCCUGACCCAGCAACGCCGCGUGAGGGAAGAAGGUUUUCGGAUUGUAAACCUCUGUCGCAGAAGACGAAGGAAGUGACGGUAAUCUGUGAGGAAGCCCCGGCUAACUACGUGCCAGCAGCCGCGGUAAUACGUAGGGGGCGAGCGUUGUCCGGAAUUACUGGGCGUAAAGGGAGCGUAGGCGGUGAUGCAAGUCAGAUGUGAAAUCUAUGGGCUUAACCCAUAAACUGCAUUUGAAACUGUAUCUCUUGAGUGUCGGAGAGGUAGACGGAAUUCCUAGUGUAGCGGUGAAAUGCGUAGAUAUUAGGAGGAACACCAGUGGCGAAGGCGGUCUACUGGACGAUAACUGACGCUGAGGCGCGAAAGCGUGGGGAGCAAACAGGAUUAGAUACCCUGGUAGU